rnacentral:rRNA from 1 species
UACAGAGGUCUCAAGCGUUGUUCGGAUUCAUUGGGCGUAAAGGGCGCGUAGGCGGCGGGGUCAGUCGGGUGUGAAAUCUUGGGGCUUAACCCCGAAACGGCACUCGAAACUGCCCGGCUGGAGGGCCGGAGAGGAGAUCGGAAUUCACGGUGUAGCAGUGAAAUGCGUAGAGAUCGUGAGGAAGACCCGUGGCGAAGGCGGGCUUCUGGCUAAUGACUGACGCUGAGGUGCGAAAGCUAGGGGAGCGAACGGG